rnacentral:tRNA from 1 species
GUGUCAGGAGCAUAGUGGUUAGUGCACAGCCCCGGAUAGGUUGAGACGCGGGUUCAAGUCCCGCCUGAAGCG